GCAGCCGAAGCGAAAGCGAGUCUUAACAGGGCGUUCAGUCGGAAGGAGUAGACGCGAAACCAAGUGAUCUACCCUUGGGCAGGUUGAAGGAUGGGUAACACCAUCUGGAGGACCGAACCAAUAAGCGUUGAAAAGCUUCUGGAUGACCUGAGGGUGGGGGUGAAAGGCUAAUCAAACUUGGAGAUAGCUCGUACUCCCCGAAAUGCAUUUAGGUGCAGCCUUGACUUAUACUGGCAUGAGGUAGAGCGACUGAUAAGAUGCGAGGGCUUCACCGCCUAUCAAGUCUUGACAAACUCCGAAUGCGUGUCAGUUCUAUGUCAGGAGUGAGGGCAUGGGUGCUAAGGUCCAUGUCCUAAAGGAGAACAAUCCGGACCAACAGCUAAGGUCCCAAAAUGAAUACUAAGUUGAACUAACGAAGUCAGAUUGCUAAGACAGCUAGGAUGUUGGCUUGGAAGCAGCCAUUCAUUUAAAGAGUGCGUAACAGCUCACUAGUCGAGGAGUUUGGCGUGGAUAAUAAUCGGGCAUUAAGUAUUCUACCGAAGCUUUGGGAUGUGUAAACAUCGGUAGGGGAGCAUUCCACUCGGCGUUGAAGGUGAGGCGUGAGCCUUGCUGGAGCGUGUGGAAAAGCAAAUGUAGGUAUAAGUAACGAUAAAGGGGGUGGGAAACCCCCUCGCCGAAAGACUAAGGUUUCCUGAUCAACGCUAAUCGGAUCAGGGUUAGUCGGGUCCUAAGGCUCAGCCGAACGGCGAGGCCGAUGGCAGAACCGGUUAAUAUUCCGGUACUACCUCAAGGAGUGACGUGGAGACGGAGCAGUGACAGUGCCGCGGACUGACGGAAUAGUCCGUUAAAGGGUGUAGAUGUUGAUUCCUGCAGGCAAAUCCGCAGGAAGAGUCGAACCUGAUAGUAUGGAGCGUCCUUCGGGACAAUCCAAUAGUGCAUGUAAACAUACUCCCGAGAAAAUCCGCUAAACUUAAUCCUUGUGGUACCCGUACCGCAAACGGACACACGUAGUCGGGUUGAAUAUACUAAGGCGCUUGAGUGAUUCACGGUUAAGGAACUAGGCAAACUGACCCUGUAACUUCGGGAUAAAGGGUCCUCAGGGUGACUUGAGGCGCAGAGAAUCGGUCCAGGCAACUGUUUAACAAAAACACAGGGCUGUGCAAAAUAGAAAUAUGAAGUAUACAGCCUGACACCUGCCCGGUGCUGGAAGGUUAAGAGGAGAUGUCAUCGCAAGAGAAGCAUUGAAUUGAAGCCCCAGUAAACGGCGGCCGUAACUAUAACGGUCCUAAGGUAGCGAAAUUCCUUGUCGGGUAAGUUCCGACCUGCACGAAUGGUGUAAUGAUCUGGACGCUGUCUCAACCGUGAGCUCAGUGAAAUUGUAGUAUCGGUGAAGAUGCCGAUUACCCGCGAUGGGACGAAAAGACCCCGUGAACCUUUACUAUAGCUUAACAUUGAAUUUGGGUAAUUGAUGUGUAGGAUAGGCCGGAG
rnacentral:rRNA from 1 species